rnacentral:tRNA from 1 species
GCGAGGGUAGCGAAGCCCGGUUAAACGCGCAGGACUUAAGAUCCUGUUCCUCAGUGGAUUCGGGGGUUCGAAUCCCCUCCCUCGCA